GAAGGGAAGCGAUCCGCCCACCGGUAUUGGACUGUUGUCGGUAGACGCUACGAUUGCGCCACCUGUUACUCUUCCACGUGUCUGCUUCUGAAUUUUUGUUGCCAAUCCGGUAAUUACGCUGCAUGGCCAAAAAAGCCAAAUCUACUUCGUCUUAACAUCUAUGAAAGAAAUCAUGAGGACGUCAAUGAAGAACAUGAUCGUUCGGUUCGUGAAAUGAAUUGACGAGAAGAAAUCAAGCGUUAAGACCAAGUAAGGAAGAAAUGAAGGACUUGCUAGGUGAGAAGGCUGCCAAAGCAUUUACUUUCUAAGUUCAGGAGUUGUAUUAUGUUGUUAAGCUUGUUAUAAAAACAAUUCGCCUAGGUUUAAUAAAAGUUUGUAUGUUUACUUUC